GCCGGUGUGAUGGAAUGGUAGACGUAGCGGAUUCAAAAUCCGCCGGUGGCGACACCGUGUGGGUUCGAGUCCCACCACCGGCACCA
rnacentral:tRNA from 2 species